rnacentral:rRNA from 1 species
UACGUAGGGUGCAAGCGUUGUCCGGAAUUAUUGGGCGUAAAGAGCUCGUAGGCGGUUUGUCGCGUCUGCUGUGAAAACCCGAGGCUCAACCUCGGGCCUGCAGUGGGUACGGGCAGACUAGAGUGCGGUAGGGAGAUUGGAAUUCCUGGUGUAGCGGUGGAAUGCGCAGAUAUCAGGAGGAACACCGGUGGCGAAGGCGGGUCUCUGGGCAGUAACUGACGCUGAGGAGCGAAAGCGUGGGGAGCGAACAGG